rnacentral:rRNA from 1 species
GAUGAACGCUGGCGGCGUGCCUAAUACAUGCAAGUCGAGCGAACAGACGAGGAGCUUGCUCCUCUGACGUUAGCGGCGGACGGGUGAGUAACACGUGGAUAACCUACCUAUAAGACUGGGAUAACUUCGGGAAACCGGAGCUAAUACCGGAUAACAUGUUGAACCGCAUGGUUCAACAGUGAAAGACGGUCUUGCUGUCACUUAUAGAUGGAUCCGCGCCGCAUUAGCUAGUUGGUAAGGUAACGGCUUACCAAGGCAACGAUGCGUAGCCGACCUGAGAGGGUGAUCGGCCACACUGGAACUGAGACACGGUCCAGACUCCUACGGGAGGCAGCAGUAGGGAAUCUUCCGCAAUGGGCGAAAGCCUGACGGAGCAACGCCGCGUGAGUGAUGAAGGUCUUCGGAUCGUAAAACUCUGUUAUUAGGGAAGAACAAAUGUGUAAGUAACUAUGCACGUCUUGACGGUGCCUAAUCAGAAAGCCACGGCUAACUACGUG